UACGGGGGGGGCAAGCGUUGUUCGGAAUUACUGGGCGUAAAGGGCUCGUAGGCGGCCAACUAAGUCAGACGUGAAAUCCCUCGGCUUAACCGGGGAACUGCGUCUGAUACUGGAUGGCUAGAGGUUGGGAGAGGGAUGCGGAAUUCCAGGUGUAGCGGUGAAAUGCGUAGAUAUCUGGAGGAACACCGGUGGCGAAGGCGGCAUCCUGGACCAAUUCUGACGCUGAGGAGCGAAAGCCAGGGGAGCAAA
rnacentral:rRNA from 1 species